GACGAACGCUGGCGGCGUGCCUAAUACAUGCAAGUCGAACGACGUGGGGACGGGUGAGUAACACGUGGGUAACCUCCCAUCAGAGGGGAUAACACUUGGAAACAGGUGCUAAACUGACACUGAAGGAUGAACCCGCGGUGCAUUAGCUAGUUGGUGAGGUAACGGCGCACCAAGGCUACGAUGCAUAGCCGAACUGAGAGGGUGAUCGGCCACGCUGUAAUUGAGACACGGCCCAGACUCCUACGGAAGGCAGCAGUAGGGAAUCUUCGGCAAUGGACGAAAGUCUGACCGAGCAACGCCGCGUGGAUGAAGAAGGUUUUCGGGUCGUAAAACUCUGUUGUUAGAGAAGCGGUAUCUGACCAAAAAGCCGCGGCUAACUACGUGCCAGCCGCCGCGGUAAUAC
rnacentral:rRNA from 1 species